CAGCAGGGCCGUACUCCCUUGGAAGGCUCUAGAGUUCUAAGGUGAGUGUUAACCUUGGAAUCCAUAGCUUCAGGGGCAGGGAGUAUGGGGACCAGUUAAAGAAGGAAUGGAUUAGAGAAAGCAACUUGGUGAGAUAACACCUCCUAUCACAACACCAGAACUUUUGAACACAUCAGUGUCAGACCUGCAGCUUUGUUCAUAAUUGUCAAAACUUGGAAGCAACCACGAUGCCGAUACCCUUCAGCAGGUGAACAAAUAAAUUAACUGUGGUACAUCCUGACAAUGGAAUAUUAUUCAGCACUAAAAAGAAAUGUGCUAUUAAGCCAUGAAAAGCCAUGGAGGAAAUUUAAAUGCAUGUUACUAAGUGAUAGAAGCCAAUCUGAAGAGGCUACAUACUCUGUAUUCCAAGUAUAUGACACCUGGAAAUGACAAAACUAUGGACACCAUAAAAAGAUCAGUGGUUACCAGGGGUUGGGGAUAGGGGAUGGAUACCUGGAGCACAGAGGAUUUUUAAGGCAGUGAAACUACUCUGUAUGACACUAUAAAAAUGGAUACGUGUCAUUAUACGUUUGUCAAAACCCAUAGGAUGUACAACAGCAAUAGCAAAACUCUAAUGUAAUCUGUGGACUUUGAGUGAUUAUGAUGUGUCAACAUAGGUUCAUUGGCUGUUAACAAAUGGACCCCUCUGGUGGAGCUAUAAAUAUGUGACAACUUAAA